rnacentral:rRNA from 1 species
GACGAACGCUGGCGGCGCGCUUAACACAUGCAAGUCGAGCGAGAACCAGGGCUUCGGCCCUGGGGACAGCGGCGAACGGGUGAGUAACACGUGGAUAACCUGCCCUCGGCACCGGGAUAGCCCGGGGAAACCCGGAUUAAUACCGGAUGGCCCUUCCGGCUUUCGAGCCGGUCGGAAAAGGUAGCUUCGGCCUCCGGCCGAGGAUGGGUCCGCGGCGGAUUAGCUUGUUGGUGGGGUAACGGCCUACCAAGGCUCCGAUGCGUAGCUGGUCUGAGAGGACGAUCAGCCACACGGGGACUGAGACACGGCCCAGACUCCUACGGGAAGCAGCAGUGGGGAAUCUUGCGCAAUGGGCGAAAGCCUAACGCAGCGACGCCGCGUGAGGGAGGAAGGCCUUCGGGUUGUAAACCUCUUUCAGGAGGGACGAAGCUACUCGGGUGAAUAGCCCAGAGGGUGACGGUACCUCCAGAAGAAGCCCCGGCUAACUACGUGCCAGCCGCCGCCGUAACAC